rnacentral:lncRNA from 1 species
CUUUCAAUUGGGUCAUUAAGGGUGACUAGGAGUUGCCAAUGGAUGGUAGAGAAAGGACUUUCAGGUGAAAGAAGGUGCAAAGUUAUGGCGAGAAACUAGAUCAGACUUAGAAAAACCUAAGCCCUGUUUUAUGUGAACAUGGAGGAAGGCACAGGGAGGCAAGACUCGGGAGUGGAUGAACUGCAUCUGAAAUUGGUCCAACCUGGCUGCACAAGGAACUCUUUGGUCAACACAAUUCUUAAAAUUAGAGGGUAUGAGAUGAGAAAGAGAACCAUCUGGGCAUAGAGAAUUGGCACCAAGCAAGAGCAAGGAACCAGACAUCAGUUACGGAAAAUGUAUCCCCACAUCACAUCAUGGGAGCCUAGCUCACAGACACUGCCAAUGGAAAUUGCAGAAAUAGAUCAACUGCAAAAGGUUACAUAGGGGACCCGCAUGCUACAUUAACUCUCUGUGAAUAAAU